rnacentral:rRNA from 1 species
GAAUUCACUAGUGAUUCAGGCCUAACACAUGCAAGUCGAGCGAUCUUCUUCGGAAGAGAGCGGCGGACGGGUGAGUAACGCGUGGGUAACCUGCCCUGUACACACGGAUAACAUACCGAAAGGUAUGCUAAUACGAGAUAAUAUGCUUUUAUCGCAUGGAAGAAGUAUCAA